GGCCCCUCGGGAACAUCCGAAAAAAUUGGAACGAUACAGAGAAGAUUAGCAUGGCCUCUGCGCAACACAAAUCGAGAAAUGGUCCAAAUUUUU
rnacentral:snRNA from 2 species